rnacentral:miRNA from 1 species
CUGCCAGUUGCCAUACCAGAGUGUCUCUCUCUCUCUCUCUCUCUCUCUCUCUCUCUCUCUCUCUCUCUCUCUCUCUCACACACACACACACAGAGAGAGAGAGAGAGAGAGAGAGAGAGAUUUACAGACACACUGGGGAGAAACACAGAAAA